ACGGAAGGCAGCAGUGGGGAAUAUUGCACAAUGGGGGAAACCCUGAUGCAGCGACGCCGCGUGAGUGAAGAAGUUAUUCGUAAUGUAAAGCUCUAUCAGCAGGGAAGAAAAUGACGGUACCUGACUAAGAAGCCCCGGCUAACUACGUGCCAGCAGCCGCGGUAAUACGUAGGGGGCAAGCGUUAUCCGGAUUUACUGGGUGUAAAGGGAGCGUAGACGGUUUGGCAAGUCUGAAGUGAAAUGCGGGGGCUCAACUCCUGAACUGCUUUGGAAACUGUCGAACUAGAGUGCAGGAGAGGUAAGUGGAAUUCCUAGUGUAGCGGUGAAAUGCGUAGAUAUUAGGAGGAACACCAGUGGCGAAGGCGGCUUACUGGACUGUAACUGACGUUGAGGCUCGAAAGCGUGGGGAGCAAACAGGAUUAGAUACCCUGGUA
rnacentral:rRNA from 1 species